rnacentral:rRNA from 1 species
UCGGGAAUUUUGGGCAAUGGACGAAAGUCUGACGCAGCAACGCCGCGUGAGGGAUGACGGCCUUCGGGUUGUAAACCUCUUUUGUCAGGGAAGAUGAUGACGGUACCUGACGAAUAAGUCACGGCUAACUACGUGCCAGCAGCCGCGGUAAUACGUAGGUGACAAGCGUUGUCCGGAUUUACUGGGCGUAAAGAGCGCGCAGGCGGUCGAUCAAGUCGAGUGUGAAAGCCCCCGGCUCAACUGGGGAGGGUCAUUCGAAACUGAUCGACUCGAAGGCAGGAGAGGGAAGUGGAAUUCCCGGUGUAGUGGUGAAAUGCGUAGAUAUCGGGAGGAACACCAGUGGCGAAGGCGACUUCCUGGCCUGUUCUUGACGCUGAGGCGCGAAAGCUAGGGGAGCAAACGGGAUUAGAUACCCCAGUAGUCCCUGAGCGGGCUGGCAAGGCGCAU